rnacentral:lncRNA from 1 species
GUUUCUGUUUUGUAGAUAAGUUCAUUUGUAUCACUUUUUUAUUUGAGAUUCUGCAUAUAAACGAUGUCAUAUGAUAUUUGUCUUUCUCUGAUUUACUCAUUUGAAGAUUUCCACCGAAAAUGGAUGAGUGGGGAGCUGGCUUCAGAAUGAAUGGGGACCAUCCAGCCUGGAAGGGAUGCUAGGAUGCCCCACCCCCAACAUAAGUGUCACCUCUCUGUACUGAGACCCAUUGAGUCUCUGAAGAUCUCUUCUCAACAGUAACCUGUAUGAAAUCAUCAUGUGACUUCACAGGAAAUUUGAUCACAGGCUCAGGUGGAAUAAGUCAUAGUUUCCUCUGGGUGCCCAGCCCUGUUCAUGCUGGCUGUGGCUUCAGAACACUGCCCCUCCAGGAGAAACUGCAAGAGAAAACUGUUCAGGAACAUCUUCAGAUCCUCCUCCUACAUUUCAUCUCCUGAAUUCUCCAGUGGUUCUCAAUAUAUCCCUGACAUCACAUCUGCAAAUCUGUCUGUUUUCUGUGAGAAAAUUUAAGAACCAAAGGUCAGUACCUAGCUUAUUCUAGAUUG